rnacentral:tRNA from 1 species
GCCUGGGGGGCUCAGUCAGUUAAGCAUCUGACUUCAGCUCAGAUCACGAUCUCACAGUUCGUGGGUUCAAGCCCCGCAUCAAGCC